ACCAGUUGGGCUCACACAUCGGCCAUGGUAGCAGUGUUGGGAAGCUCCCCAACACCUCCCACUUCCACCUCCCACCCCCACCCGGGCCUCACCACUCAGCGUCAGCCACCGGGCCAAGUCUAGGACAGACAGCAACACAGGAGCCACCGAGGACCAGGGCCACAGGCAAAAGACAGCAGCACAAAGGUCAGUCUGAGCUGGGGUCUUAGACAAGAAACAAACCAGAGAGGUUCUAACACCAUCCACUUUGCUAGUCAAAACAACCCUUUUCUUUAGUGAUGUGAAGAGAAGACAGGUAAGGUAUGAUUGGGUGGGUGGGUGUGCCAGAACAUUGGCAUUGAUAUUUUACUGUGUAACUCUAUUGCUUGGUCCUCAGGCCCCAGGUGCAGUGCUGCAUCUCUGGUCAAUUGGGAGUCUGAGAUGAAGCACUGUAGCUCGGGAAGGAGGGUGCUGCUACAGCGGGGUGAGCAGUCUGGGACAGAGGGAUAGCUCUUUCUAUCUCUAUGCCUUAUAAUCAUGGAGACCAUGCAUGGAAGCUGUUAUUGUGGCGAUAUGUGCCCAGAAUAUUAGAGAGGGAGGACCCCCGUGACUGGUUCUGCCUCUCUCUCUCUCUCUCUCGUCUGGACACAUAUCUGAGAUACCAAAUCAUCAUUCCACCCAUGAUGCUAACAUGUUAAUGGACCAUUAAAGACUAGUUCCUGGUGUGUUUUCCAUGCUAUAAUUGAUCUCCUCCUCCUGAGUGCAUUUACAGCAUUACCCUGGGCUUUUCCUCGCCCCCGGGGUCCAGUUUUCCCAGGAAUCCCUUGGGUAAUCACAACGGGGAUUCCUGGAAAUACUGUUCUUGGGGGUGGGGCUUGACUACAUGGAUCUGGGAUAGUAAUACAAUCUGCUUGUAAGAUGUUCCACAGGCAUGUGGUUGCAUCGUAAUGUCAUGUGAAAAUGAUAUGACUGGGGAAGGACGAUAAAUAAACAGAUGGAACUAGCUACUGCAUACGGUACAGAAUAUCUUGAUGCAAGGCCAUUCUGGGUGCAUACUCUGAUGUAAAUUACGCUACACCAUUUUAUAUGCAUUUCACUGUCAGAGGAUCUAAAGGCAUAUCAUGUUAUAUAACAGCUAUUUAUAACUCCACUUUUUAUUUUUAUUUUUUAUGGGCAAUGUUGCCACUGUGCAAAUGUUAAAACUCAAUAAAAGUUAACAAUUCCAACAUGUCUAUCUCAGUCUUUCAACUUUAUUGCAACACUGCAAUUUUGAUCAUCAUGUAAACUUGCUGGAAUGACCCAAAUCUAAUUCUGGACAAACUGCCAAAUAUGAACACAGUGCCCUCUACGUGUAGAUAUCAACACUACAUAUUGCUUGUCAAAAUUUUCACCACAAGGGGUCAGAGUUGAGCCACUUCCUUACAUGUACUAGAGGUAGGCCAUCAUCCUACAUGUGCUACAUCAGAUUGCCAUUAUGGCAGACCAAAAAUAUUUGAGUCUUAACAUAUUUUAGUUCACAUGGAGUAGCAUUUAGACAUAGAGGAAAUGUGUAUGAGUGUUUGUGGGCAUUAUUCUACAAACAUCUUCAAGAUGACAAGGAGCGUGUACCCCAAACGUGAUGUUCUGUGUCCAAUACAAGACGAGUUGAAACAAUGUGUUAGUUUUAGACAAAUAGAUCUCCUUUGGUAGGAAAACCUAAAUCACUUUUGUAUGUGUCAAUUUAUUAAAAUGGGUAACUUGGACAAAGCUCAUAUGACUACAGGCAGGGGACUGACUGUACAAUGUUAAUAUAAUAUGUGAAACAAUAAAAACCUUUAUUUGGGCACUGGGAAAAGGGAGAAGAAAGUUUUUUGACAUGAAAUCAUUUAUGAAGAGAUUUAGAAAAUCUCUGGGAAUGUAGCGUUCUUUUGGGCUCCAGAAACAGGUGCUAUACAACCUUACACCUUCAGGCUUUCAGGAAGAACAUGCGUCAAAGUAGGCGGGUAGAUAGUCACAUUCGUAAUAGCUUCGCUACACAAUAUCAUCUAUUCAUCCAUUGACCGUCUACUAGACAUAGAACAUUGUGUGGGCUGCAGAAAUCUGAGCUUUCUCCAGCCUGGUAUAAGAAAGACGAGCACCCCCUCUGUAAAUGUUCCCUAGCUCUGCUGUCGCCUGCCUGCAGUCAGUUGUAAGAGGGUCUUCACGGGAGGGGGAAUGUAAACAGGCACAGCAUAUGAGUAGGAAGGCAGGUAACGAGAUACAGGGAGAGGGUGGCCCUUUAAAACGCACUCCCUUCAAGGUUAUCUGGAGACACCUCUGGGAUCUCAUCCAAUCAACAGGAGACUCCUCAGGGACCUCAUUCAACCAUCUGGAGACUCCUCUGGGAUCUCUUUCAACCAUCUGGAGACUCCUCAGAGACCUCUUUCAACCAUCUGGAGACUCCUCAGAGACCUCUUUCAACCAUCUGGAGACUCCUCGGGGACCUCUUUCAAUCAUGUGGAGAAUCCUCAGGGACCUCUUCCAACCAACUGUGGAAGCCCAUUCCUCAAAGGAGGGUGGGGGAGGGGAGUGCACACACACAGACACACAAGGCACUUCUGGCAUGCCUAUAUGCUGUAAGCUCUUGGUUAUGUUUGGCUCUACUUGCCAACUGGAAUCCACUACUGUGUUGAUUUGAAAUGUUAAUGCUGUUCCCUACUGUUGUUCCCUACUGUGAGAAACAGUGGAGACACAGAGAAGGUAAUGUAAUUCACAGCAGUAAAUAAACAUAUUCAUACUUUG